rnacentral:rRNA from 1 species
GUCUCAGUUCGGAUUGCAGGCUGCAACUCGCCUGCAUGAAGUCGGAAUUGCUAGUAAUCGCGGAUCAGCAUGCCGCGGUGAAUACGUUCCCGGGCCUUGUACACACCGCCCGUCACACCAUGAGAGCCGGGAGCACCCGAAGUCCGUAGUCUAACCAUUAAGGAGGACGCGGCCGAAGGUGGGUUUGGUAAUUGGGGUGAAGUCGUAACAAGGUAAC